rnacentral:rRNA from 1 species
UUCUUUGGUCCCACCUGACCCCAUGCCGAACUCAGAAGUGAAACGCCGUAGCGCCGAUGGUAGUGUGGGGUCUCCCCAUGUGAGAGUAGGGAACUGCCAGGC